CACGUAGGGUGCGAGCGUUUGUCCGGAAUUAUUGGGCGUAAAGAGCUCGUAGGCGGUGUGUCGCGUCGGCCGUGAAAACCUGCAGCUUAACUGUGGGCUUGCGGUCGAUACGGGCAUCACUGGAGUUCGGCAGGGGAGACUGGAAUUCCUGGUGUAGCGGUGAAAUGCGCAGAGUAUCAGGAGGGAACACCGGUGGCGAAGGCGGGUCUCUGGGCCGAUACUGACCGC
rnacentral:rRNA from 1 species